rnacentral:tRNA from 1 species
AAGGGUAUAGCUCAGUGGUAGAGCAUGUGCAAGGUUCUGGGUUCAAUCCCCAGUACCUCCA